GAUGAACGCUGGCGGCGUGCCUAAUACAUGCAAGUCGAGCGAACAGACGAGGAGCUUGCUCCUCUAACGUUAGCGGCGGACGGGUGAGUAACACGUGGAUAACCUACCUAUAAGACUGGGAUAACUUCGGGAAACCGGAGCUAAUACCGGAUAAUAUAUUGAACCGCAUGGUUCAAUAGUGAAAGACGGUUUUGCUGUCACUUAUAGAUGGAUCCGCGCCGCAUUAGCUAGUUGGUAAGGUAACGGCUUACCAAGGCAACGAUGCGUAGCCGACCUGAGAGGGUGAUCGGCCACACUGGAACUGAGACACGGUCCAGACUCCUACGGGAGGCAGCAGUAGGGAAUCUUCCGCAAAGGGCGAAAGCCUGACGGAGCAACGCCGCGUGAGUGAUGAAGGUCUUCGGAUCGUAAAACUCUGUUAUUAGGGAAGAACAAAUGUGUAAGUAACUAUGCACGUCUUGACGGUACCUAAUCAGAAAGCCACGGCUAACUACGUG
rnacentral:rRNA from 1 species